rnacentral:rRNA from 1 species
AGCGGCGGACGGGUUAGUAACGCGUGGGAACGUACCCUUUUCUACGGAAUAGCCUCGGGAAACUGAGAGUAAUACCGUAUAAGCCCUUCGGGGGAAAGAUUUAUCGGGAAAGGAUCGGCCCGCGUUAGAUUAGAUAGUUGGUGGGGUAAUGGCCUACCAAGUCUACGAUCUAUAGCUGGUUUUAGAGGAUGAUCAGCAACACUGGGACUGAGACACGGCCCAGACUCCUACGGGAGGCAGCAGUGGGGAAUCUUAGACAAUGGGCGCAAGCCUGAUCUAGCCAUGCCGCGUGUGUGAUGAAGGCCUUAGGGUCGUAAAGCACUUUCGCCAGGGAUGAUAAUGACAGUACCUGGUAAAGAAACCCCGGCUAACUCCGUGCCAGCAGCCGCGGUAAUACGGAGGGGGUUAGCGUUGUUCGGAAUUACUGGGCGUAAAGCGUACGUAGGCGGAUCAGAAAGUAGGGGGUGAAAUCCCGAGGCUCAACCUCGGAACUGCCUCCUAAACUCCUGGUCUUGAGUUCGAGAGAGGUGAGUGGAAUUCCAAGUGUAGGGGUGAAAUUCGUAGAUAUUUGGAGGAACACCAGUGGCGAAGGCGGCUCACUGGCUCGAUACUGACGCUGAGGUACGAAAGUGUGGGGAGCAAACAGGAUUAGAUACCCUGGUAGUCCACACCGA